GGGACCCUUCCAGAGACCUCUGCCCUGUGUACCUCUUCAUCUCACCGUUCAUUUGUAUCCUUUAUAAUAAACAGUGUAACUUUAAAGAGAAGGCGAAUGAGCUUCUAGAGAGCUACCAAGACAGUCACUACUUCAUCAUCAGUAAAAGCUGUUUACUUCCGAUGUGUAAUAAACCCACGUGACCAUUUGGGGGCGCCAGAGUCCAGCACAGGCCGGCCGAGCCCGCGUUCUUCCCGGGGAAUGCAACAGCUGAUUCACCUGCUCCACGCUGAUUAAUAAUCAAACUACCAUUGUGUGGGGCCUAUCUUCCUACUGGACCUCAAAACCCACCUACUCCACAAGUUUAUCUUCACAAUUAUGAGCUACCUGCUUCACGUCACACUACAGCACCUAAAAGCAAAUAAUAAAGUUUAUUCUUGAGUUAACCUGCCUCUGUGUUCAGCCAAUCCCUCCUGCACGUGAGUGAUGCACCUGGAUGCUGCAUAAGGAGAGAUGGAAAUACCUAAGGUGUGGUCCUUACUUCCAAGGGGCUUAUAGCAGAACGAAGACUCGAAAGCAAGCACACCCACAACCACAACACAGCCGCUGGCACACACAGCAGGAAAGACACCGGGUUUAAUGGAGCAGAGAAAGGGGGCGUCAUCUCCAGGCACAGCUCCAUGAAGAAGAUGACAUUGACCUGGGAGCUCUGAGCCUUCAUAUAAUGAGUAAGCUUUCAGCUGGAAGAAAUCCCAAGUGGAGAAACAGGAAGCUAUAAAAGAGCAAUGGUUUUGGAUUCACAAAACCUGCCUGAGUGAACCUGGGUAAGUUGCUUCCCCUUCUUGAUCUCAGGAAGGGUUUUGCAGAGCUGGCAGCCACAGGCACAGGUGAGCAGAUGGCUUGAGCUCAGAAGUGCAAGACUAGCCUGGGCUACAUGGCAAAACCUGGUCUCUACAAUCUGUAGAAGUUUUCCUUUCUAGCUACAAAUUAAUAAAUGUUAAUUUGAAAAUAAAAAUUAGAAAAUCUAAGAAAAUAUAAAGAAGAAAAUUAAAUUACACCUAGUUCUGAAGAGGCGCAGUGGCUCACGCCUGCAAUCCCAGCACUUAGGGAGGCCAAAGCGGGAGGACCGAUUGAGACCAGGAGUUCCAGACCAGCCUGGGUAACAUAGUGAGACUCCCUCCUCUACAAAAAAUUAAAAAAUUAGUCAGGUGUGGUGGUAUGUGCCUACAGUCCUAGCUACUGGGGAGGCUGAGGUGGGAGAAUCGCUUGAGUCCAGGAGUUUGAGGUUAUAAUGAGCUAUGAUUAUGCCACUGCACUCCAGCCUGGGCAACAGAGCACGAUUGUGUCUCAAAAAAAUAUAUAUAUAUGCUUAAUCUUUUCACUUAGAAAUAUUUUCUUCUUAUUUUUUCUAUCAGCUCCUCCAAUUUAAUGUACAAAAUGAGACUAUACUGAAUAUACCUUUUAUAUCCUGUUAUUUAACUUAACAUUAUAUUGUGACUACUUUCUCGAAUCAAUGCAUAUAAUUUUGUCUGGUUUUGCUUUCUUUUUCAUCAAAGAUGUACAUGCACAUAAUCUAAGAAUCAGUAGUUCAAGUCCCUCUUCUAUCCUGCUCCCCAGAUCAAAACUUGAAAUAUUUUAGUCAAUUCCUUUGGGAUUUACUUCCAUGUCUUAAAAUAACACCGUAUUCAUAUUCUACUUACCAGCACGUGACUAUCAGACAUCACCUACUGACUUCUGACUCUGGAAAUGGGGGUUUAGCCCUCUCCCCACCCCCAUCACUCAGCCCCAC
rnacentral:lncRNA from 10 species